CCUACGGGAGGCAGCAGUGGGGAAUAUUGGACAAUGGGCGAAAGCCUGAUCCAGCAAUGCCGCGUGAGUGAUGAAGGCCUUAGGGUCGUAAAGCUCUUUUACCCGGGAUGAUAAUGACAGUACCGGGAGAAUAAGCCCCGGCUAACUCCGUGCCAGCAGCCGCGGUAAUACGGAGGGGGCUAGCGUUGUUCGGAAUUACUGGGCGUAAAGCGUGCGUAGGCGGUUAUUCAAGUCAGAGGUGAAAGCCCGGGGCUCAACCCCGGAACGGCCUUUGAAACUAGGUAGCUAGAAUCUUGGAGAGGUCAGUGGAAUUCCGAGUGUAGAGGUGAAAUUCGUAGAUAUUCGGAAGAACACCAGUGGCGAAGGCGACUGACUGGACAAGUAUUGACGCUGAGGCACGAAAGCGUGGGGAGCAAACAGGAUUAGAUACCCUGGUAGUCCACGCCGUAAACGAUGAUAACUAGCUGUUCGGGUACUUGGUAUCUGAGUGGCGCAGCUAACGACAUUAAGUUAUUCCGUCCGUCGGGUAGGUACGGUCGGCGAAGAAUUAAAACUUAAAAUUAAGUAAGUUAGUACGGCGUGAGACGUGCCGAACGGACGACGACGAGGGGAGGUAGG
rnacentral:rRNA from 1 species